GGGAUGGUAGCCUAGCGGGAAGGCGCAGGUCUCCAAAACCUGAGGUCAUGGGUUCGAAUCCUAUCCAUCCCA
rnacentral:tRNA from 1 species